UACGUAGGGGGCAAGCGUUGUCCGGAUUUAUUGGGCGUAAAGAGCGUGUAGGCGGCUAGGUAGGUCGGUUGUGAAAACUCGAGGCUCAACCUCGAGACGCCGAUGGAAACCAUCUGACUAGAGCCGGAAGAGGAGAGUGGAAUUCCGUGGUGUAGCGGUGAAAUGCGCAGAUAUCAGGAAGACCACCCGUGGCUAAGACGGCUCUCUAGUACGUGACUGACGCUGAGACGCGAAAGCGUGGGGAGCGAACAGG
rnacentral:rRNA from 1 species